CAACGACCGGAUUUGGUGUGUGGUAGUAACAGGUGAAACACAGCUGCCACACAGAGCCAGCUGCACGAACAGGCCGCGGCGUGGACACGUGAGUAUUAAUAACACGUGGACCCAAAGGACGCAGAGCUGCCGGCGUUCUGAUGGCAGGCGCCAGGACGUGUUGGACUUGUGUGACCCGGGCAGCUUAUUUUCCUCUGAGCGCGUUUAAAGGUGAUUUCUGUAAUAACGCAGCGCAGCGCUCCAUCCUCCUCCACCUUCCUCGAUAUCAUUUCCCCUCCAACUCAAUCACGUCAGCACGCCUCGCCUGCAGCACAUUUACAGAGUCCAACAUUCAAUCAGGACACCAUUCCCCCUCCAGGCCGAUAUCUGAGCUUUGCUCUGACGCGUCACAUGAAAUGUACUUUCUACAGUCACAGC